rnacentral:misc_RNA from 1 species
AAUUACGGUCCUGAAUUUCCUUGUCAACUUCAUUAAUGCAUUCGUGAACUUAUCAAUGAUCAUUACGAAUUCAUAUUAUUUACGAGACUAAUUUAAAGUUAAAUCGCGAAUGGCUGGCUUUAUCGAUAAGCGAAACACGCGAAUGCUACGGUAGGCGGGAAGCCGGCAGACGCCGUAUGGCCGACCGCGGCAAACAUCGCGUCGCGCCCGUCCCGGCGCCGGCCCGUAAGCAGUACGCGUACGUGCCGUGCCCGAGGUCCGAGGAGGUCGGCACGGAGUUCGCGCUCCAACUCCUCAAGAACUACCACGAUGAACCAGAGACGCCAAGGAAAAUCGUACACGGCAAGUAUCAUCUGGUCGUGGGAGUCGGUAGAAUAAUUGUUAUAUAAAUGUCACGAUUCAUCAUAAGACUUCGAACUCAACUCUGUGUGGGCCGUAAAAUAACUGCUUCAUGACAGAAAAGGAUGGAUGUAUCUUUGUAUUUGUGGACGCGUGGGAGGAACCCCAGGAGAGAAGUGGUUGUUUCGUCGGUUCAACGCCGUUCAACACACCAGCCCUAAAAGAGCUUUCAGAAGAUGGUGCAAACCUAUUGGAUGACAUUAGUAGCAAGAGCACAGAUAUGAC